rnacentral:rRNA from 1 species
GAUGAACGCUGACAGAAUGCUUAACACAUGCAAGUCAACUUGAAUUUGGGUUUUUAACUUAGAUUUGGGUGGCGGACGGGUGAGUAACGCGUAAAGAACUUGCCUCACAGCUAGGGACAACAUUUAGAAAUGAAUGCUAAUACCUGAUAUUAUGAUUUUAAGGCAUCUUAGAAUUAUGAAAGCUAUAAGCACUGUGAGAGAGCUUUGCGUCCCAUUAGCUAGUUGGAGAGGUAACAGCUCACCAAGGCGAUGAUGGGUAGCCGGCCUGAGAGGGUGAACGGCCACAAGGGGACUGAGGCACGGCCCUUACUCCUACGGGAGGCAGCAGUGGGGAAUAUUGGACAAUGGACCGAGAGUCUGAUCCAGCAAUUCUGUGUGCACGAUGAAGUUUUUCGGAAUGUAAAGUGCUUUCAGUUGGGAAGAAACAAAUGACGGUACCAACAGAAGAAGUGACGGCUAAAUACGUGCCAGCAGCCGCGGUAAUACGUAUGUCACGAGCGUUAUCCGGAUUUAUUGGGCGUAAAGCGCGUCUAGGUGGUUAUGUAAGUCUGAUGUGAAAAUGCAGGGCUCAACUCUGUAUUGCGUUGGAAACUGUAUAACUAGAGUACUGGAGAGGUAAGCGGAACUACAAGUGUAGAGGUGAAAUUCGUAGAUAUUUGUAGGAAUGCCGAUGGGGAAGCCAGCUUACUGGACAGAUACUGACGCUAAAGCGCGAAAGCGUGGGUAGCAAACAGG